ensembl:misc_RNA Metazoa_SRP Metazoan signal recognition particle RNA
GCCGGGCGUGGUGGCGCACGUCUGUAAUCCCAGAUACUCGGGAGGCUGAGGCAGGAGAAUCACUUGAACCUGGGAGGCUGAGGUUGCAGUGAACCGAGAUCGUGCCAUUGCCACUGCACUCCAGCCCGGGCGACAGAGUGAGAGACUGUCUCUC